rnacentral:rRNA from 1 species
GAUGAACGCUGGCGGCGUGCCUAAUACAUGCAAGUCGAGCGAACAGACGAGGAGCUUGCUCCUCUGACGUUAGCGGCGGACGGGUGAGUAACACGUGGAUAACCUACCUAUAAGACUGGGAUAACUUCGGGAAACCGGAGCUAAUACCGGAUAAUAUAUUGAACCGCAUGGUUCGAUAGUGAAAGACGGUUUUGCUGUCACUUAUAGAUGGAUCCGCGCCGCAUUAGCUAGUUGGUAAGGUAACGGCUUACCAAGGCAACGAUGCGUAGCCGACCUGAGAGGGUGCUCGGCCCACGUGGACCUGAGCCCCGGCCCGACCCCCUAGGGGAGGCACAGGGAGGGAUUCUUCCGCAAGGGGCGAAACCCGUCAGGAGCAACGCCGGGGGAGUAAUGAAGGUCUUCGGUUCGAAAAACUCUUUUAUUGGGGAAAAACAAAUGUGUAAGUAAAUAUGCCCGUCUGGCGGGUACCUAAUCAAAAGGCCCCGGCUACCUACGU